rnacentral:lncRNA from 1 species
AAGCUCGGUCUAUCAUUCUAUCAUUCUAUCAUCUUCUCAUCUCUCCAUCUUCUUUCAUUCAUCUCCUCAUCUCUUCAUCUUCUAUUUCUUUUUUAUUUUUAUUCCUUUAUUUUUCUCAAAAAAAAAAAAAAGAAAAAAAAAAAAAAAGAAGAAGAACAGUAGCCGGAUUUGAGGGCAAAUCCUUUUUCAAGAGGGAGAGUAUGAUAUGAUAAUGGGAAGCAGCAGGAUAUGUGGUCAUUGAAUCAAGCGUAUCUGAUCAACCACGGCGAAUUUAUGCAUGAAACCAGUUGGAGAAUGUGCUCAGCUCAAUUACGAAACUCCUCGAAGAAGAAUCAGAUCAAUCGGAGUUCAGAUGAAGGAGU